GAAUUCCUGAGGUCGGAGUUGAC
rnacentral:rasiRNA from 1 species